UACAGAGGUGCCAAGCGUUAGGCGGAAUCACUGGGCUUAAAGCGUGUGUAGGUGGAUGUCUAAGUACCUUGUGAAAUCCCAUGGCUCAACCAUGGAACUGCUCGGUAUACUGGAUGUCUUGAGCCACUUAGGGGCUACCGGAACAAAUGGUGGAGCGGUGAAAUGCGUAGAUAUCAUUUGGAACGCCAAUGGUGAAAACAGGUAGCUGGGAGUGUGCUGACACUGAGACACGAAAGCCAGGGGAGCGAACGGG
rnacentral:rRNA from 1 species